rnacentral:rRNA from 1 species
GACGAACGGAGCGAACGUUGUUCGGAAUCACUGGGCAUUAAGGGCGCGUAGGCGGGUUCUCAAGUCCGGGGUGAAAUCCCACAGCUCAACUGUGGAACUGCCUCGGAUACUGGGGGCCUCGAGGGUGGUAGGGGUAUGCGGAACUAUCGGUGGAGCGGUGAAAUGCGUUGAUAUCGAUAGGAACUCCGGUGGCGAAGGCGGCAUACUGGACCACAUCUGACGCUGAGGCGCGAAAGCCAGGGGAGCAAACGGG